rnacentral:rRNA from 1 species
GUGAGCAAAACAGCUAUGGGUCAAGUAAUAAGACUACAGAAGUCUUAUUGUGAGGCGAGUUAUAUAAAAAAAAAAAAUGGCCGUCCCAUAUGAAAAGAUUAUAUUAGAAUUGAAUGAAGCUUUGUUUAUAUAUUGAUAAUGACAGUAUAGAUAUCGGGUCUUGACUAAUUGCGUGCCAGCAGUCGCGGUAAUACGUAAGAGACUAGUGUUAUUCAUCUUAAUUAGGUUUAAAGGGUACCCAGACGGUCAAUAUAGCUUAUAAAAUGUUAGUACUUGACUAGAGUUUUAUGUAAGAGGGCAGUACUUGAGGAGGAGAGAUGAAAUUUCGUGAUACCAAAGGGACUCUGUAAAGGCGAAGGCAGCCCUCUAUGUAAAAACUGACGUUGAAGGACGAAGGGACAGAGAACAAACAGGAUGAGAUACCCCAGUAGUCUUUGCAGUAAAUGAUGAAUGCCAAGGUUAGAUUGAUCAAUUAUAGUCUAGGGUUAGGUCUAGCAAAACUAAUUGCCCUAUGAAAUAAAUUCAAAAUAUCUGGGUCUAUAAAUGAAAAGUGUAAGCCUUUCACCUCAAGGAGUAAGGUGGCACCGCAAGGAACUGGAAAAUCACU